rnacentral:rRNA from 1 species
AACGAACGCUGGCGGCAUGCCUAACACAUGCAAGUCGAACGGGAUCCUAGCUUGCUAGGUGAGAGUGGCGGACGGGUGAGUAACACGUGGGAAUCUGCCUUUUGGUUCGGGAUAACCGCGGGAAACUGCGGCUAAUACCGAAUGCCCUCGAGAGAGGAAAGAUUUAUCGCCAGAAGAGGAGCCCGCGUCCGAUUAGGUAGUUGGUGGGGUAAAGCCUACCAAGCCGACGAUCGGUAGCUGGUCUGAGAGGAUGAUCAGCCACACUGGGACUGAGAUACGGCCCAGACUCCUACGGGAGGCAGCAGUGGGGAAUAUUAGGACAAUGGGGGCACCCUGAUCCAGCAAUGCCGCGUGAGUGAUGAAGGCCUUAGGGUUGUAAA